ensembl:lncRNA
CCGGGGAGGAUGGAGGAAGGUCUGGGAAAGGGAGAGGAUGCGGGGAGGUCUGGGAGAGGAGACAAGGGAGGAUGGGGAAGUUCUGGGAGAGGGAGAGGAGACAGGGAAGGAUGGUGGAGGUCUGGGAGAGGGAGAGGAGACGGGGAGGAUGGAAAGAGCUCUCGGUGAGGUGAGGAGACAGGGGAGGAUGGGGGAAGUCUGAGAAAGGGGGAGGAUGCGGGGAGGUCUGGGAGAGGGAGAGGAGAUAGGGGAGGAUGGGAGGAGGUCUGGGAGAGGGGGAGGAUGCGGGGAGGUUUGGGAGAGGGAGAGGAGACAGGGGAGGAUGGGAGAAGGUCUGGGAGAGGGAGAGGAGACGGGGAGGAUGGGAGGAGGUCUGGGAGAGGGAACGGAGACGGGAGGAUGGGAGGAGGUCUGGGAGAGGGAAAGGAGACGGGAGGAUGGGAGAAGGUCUGGGAGAGGGAGAGGAGAUAGGGGAGGUUGGGAGGAGGUCUGGGAGAGGGGAGGAGACUGGUGAGGAUGGGGGAGGAAUGGGAAAGGAGACAGGGGAGGAUGGGCGAGGAAUGCGAAAGAAGACAGGGGAGAAUUGGGAGGGAGAGGGGGAGGAGAAGGUCUGUUGUGUCCUCCUACAUUGUGUGAUAGAACAUGUUGGGUUGCUCUGUAAAAGCGCUCUGUUGCUCCUACCACCCAUUUUGAGGACCAUGUAUGUGGAGUCACUGGAAAUGGUCAAUCCUAGUUUAUCCACUACUUGAUGGAUGGCCAUUUUCAUGAAGUUGUGUGUGUGUGCGUGUGCGUGUGCGCGUG